rnacentral:tmRNA from 1 species
GGGGGCGAAAGGAUUUCGACGGGGACCUUAAGCCCGGAUAAGCGAGCAGAGGUGCGGUACCUCUAUAAAAAUCGCAACUUCAAAACAACUGACGAACAUCAGACUGUUUUAGCUGCUGCUUAAGCCAGCGGCCGUUCUUACCGGGAGGACCGCGACCCGGAUAAGAGCGUGAUUGAGCGGUGAACCGGCACGGGUGAGAGCCCUGUAACCCGUCCGGAACAAAAGGGCUACCGAUGCCGCGAGCCCGCCUUUCGGCGCACGGCAAAGGGAAUCUGAAACGGAAGGAUGCGCUCGGAGAAAAUCCGGAGGAGAGAUUUUCGGACGUGGGUUCGAGUCCCACCGUCUCCACCA